rnacentral:lncRNA from 1 species
CAAUAUUCACAUACAUAUUAUAUUACGGGUCUCAUAUAUCAAGCGGAGAACCCAUAAUAAAUAUAUGUAUAUGAAUAUUAUAUAACCUAUUUUUUAUUUGAUAAUAAAUUGUACUUUGUUAAACGAAUGUAGCCCAAGGUUGACCAAGAAGGAGAUAAAACAGAGAAUCCAAUGAAGAGAGAGAAUUCUUUCACUGUUUCGUAUUUGGACACACGUGUGCAGAAAAUUCCAAUCAGCUUGUGACUUGUUUGGAAGGUGCCUAACAUCUUUCGCUCUCAAGUCUCUGCACAACUUAUAGCUUUAAGGGUUAAGUUCAGAUAACUAUCUGGGGUUUGAACGUUUUUUCACUUAACCACCUGUAGUUAGUAAAUUUACAUUUAAACUUCCGACCUUUUGAGGUGAAGUGAAUAAAUACUUUCCGUCUUAACUCCAUUACUUGAGUUCCCCAUCCUCCUUGUCUCUUUGUAAAUAAAGACUUCAACAUUAUGCUGAACCAACAGCCAGUGCAGUGCACACCUUAAUAUGCAAGUGGAAGUGGUGCUGACUCAAUCUUUUCACCCUAUGAAGUUAUUUUUUUGAUAAGUUGGUCAAUUGACCACUAAAAUAUUGACACACAUACAACCUUACCUGCGAGUCAGUAUUUUAUUGGUCAAUUGACCAACUUACCCUAAAAUAAACUUCAUACUAACCACUUCCGAUGUAUUAUAGCAUUGUAAUAUA